rnacentral:rRNA from 1 species
UACGGGGGGGGCAAGCGUUGUUCGGAAUUACUGGGCGUAAAGGGCUCGUAGGCGGCCAACUAAGUCAGACGUGAAAUCCCCAGGCUCAACCUGGGAACUGCGUCCGAUACUGGAUGGCUUGAAUUCGGGAGAGGGAUGCAGAAUUCCAGGUGUAGCGGUGAAAUGCGUAGAUAUCUGGAGGAAUACCGGUGGCGAAGGCGGCAUCCUGGACCGACAUUGACGCUGAAAGCCGAAAGCUAGGGGAGCAAACGGG